rnacentral:tRNA from 1 species
GAAGGUAUAGCUCAGUGGUAGAGCACAUGCUUAGCAUGCACAAGGUCCUGGGUUCAAUCCCCAGUACCGACA